rnacentral:misc_RNA from 1 species
CGACUAGUUUUAAAAGUAUAAGCAGGCUCUGGUUUUUUAAUUACCAUGGUUCUACUCAGCGUGAUAAUUAUCUAUCGUUGAGGACACUUUUAUUAGUGGCCAUGGUCCCAAGAGUUGCUCUCUAAUCUCUGUGAUCAGUUGCAAAACUGAUUUCAUUCAUAUCUGACCUCGAAUCAGGUGGGACUACCCGCUGAACUUAA